ACACAAACAUGGCGUCUGUGGUGCUGGCGCUGAGGACUCAGACAGCCGUUACAUCCUUGCUGAGCUCCACUCCUGCUACAGCUCUUGCUGUCAGAUAUGCAUCCAAGAAGACAGGUGGUAGCUCCAAAAGCCUUGGUGGAAAGUCAUCAGGCAGACGCCUAGGCAUUAAGAAAAUGGAAGGUCACUAUGUUCAUGCUGGGAACAUCAUUGGAACACAGAACCAUUUCCGCUGGCACCCAGGUGCCCAUGUGGGUCUUGGGAAGAAUAAAUGUCUGUAUGCCCUGGAAGAGGGGAUAGUCCGCUACACUAAGGAGGUCUACGUGCCUCAUCUCAGAAACACGGAGGCUGUGGAUCUGAUCACCAGGCUGCCCAAGGGUGCUGUGCUCUUCAAGAAUUUUGUCCACGUGGUUCCUGCCAAGCUGGAGGGCACCUUCAAACUGGUAGCUAUGCUUUGAUGUCCUGUUUGAGACCAUCAGACAGAGACUGGAGCCCAGGUGACAGGAGAUGGUGAUACCUGAAGUCAAGGGUUGGGGCGACGACAUGGCCUCCCAAGGAAGAGGUCUGCUUGAUGGUGACUCUGCAGGAGCCUCUGAAGUGACUGCUGGGAAACCCUUUGGGAGACCUGACCUGGGGCCAAAAAUAAAGUGAGCCAGAGU